rnacentral:rRNA from 1 species
GAAAGUUACUUCGGUACAUCGGUGACAGGUGGUGCAUGGUUGUCGUCAGCUCGUGUCGUGAGAUGUUGGGUUAAGUCCCGCAACGAGCGCAACCCCUAUUGUUAGUUGCCAUCAUUCAGUUGGGGCACUCUAGCGAGACUGCCGGUAAUAAACCGGAGGAAGGUGGGGAUGACGUCAAAUCAUCAUGCCUCUUAUGACCUGGGCUACACACGUGCUACAAUGGUUGGUACAACGAGUUGCGAGUCGGUGACGGCGAGCUAAUCUCUUAAAGCCAAUCUCAGUUCGGAUUGUAGGCUGCAACUCGCCUACAUGAAGUCGGAAUCGCUAGUAAUCGCGGAUCAGCACGCCGCGGUGAAUACGUUCCCGGGCCUU